GGCCCGAUGGCGCAAUGGUAGCGCGUCAGAUUCCAGAUCCGACUCGGAGUCUCCUGAAGGUUGGGCGUUCAAAUCGCCCUCGGGUCA
rfam:Stagonospora sp. SRC1lsM3a unplaced genomic scaffold IQ06scaffold_4, whole genome shotgun sequence.